AGCAGCCGCGGUAAUUCCAGCUCCAAUAGCGUAUAUUAAAGUUGUUGCAGUUAAAAGCUCGUAGUUGAAUUUCGGGGUCAGUAGGUUGGUCAUGCCACUGGUAUGUACUGGUCUCACUGAUUCCUCCUUCCUGAUGAACUGUAAUGCCAUUAAUUUGGUGUUGCAGGGAAUCUGGACUGUUACUUUGAAAAAUUAGAGUGUUUAAAGCAGGCAUUAGCUUGAAUACAUUAGCAUGGAAUAAUGAAAUAGGACGUUCGAACCUAUUUUGUUGGUUUUUAGGAUCAACGUAAUGAUUAAUAGGGAUAGUUGGGGGCAUUAGUAUUCAAUUGUCAGAGGUGAAAUUCUUGGAUUUAUUGAAGACUAACUUCUGCGAAAGCAUUCGCCAAGGAUGUUUUCAUUAAUCAAGAACGAAAGUUAGGGGAUCGAAGACGAUCAGAUACCGUCGUAGUCUUAACCAUAAACUAUGCCGACUAGGGAUCGGACGGUGUUAAUUUUUGACCCGUUCGGCA
rnacentral:rRNA from 1 species